rnacentral:rRNA from 1 species
CCUACGGGAGGCAGCAGUAGGGAAUAUUGCUCAAUGGGUGAAACCCUGAAGCAGCAACGCCGCGUGGAGGAUGAAGGUUUUCGGAUCGUAAACUCCUUUUGUCAGAGAAGAUAAUGACGGUAUCUAACGAAUAAGCACCGGCUAACUCCGUGCCAGCAGCCGCGGUAAUACGGAGGGUGCAAGCGUUACUCGGAAUCACUGGGCGUAAAGAGCGCGUAGGCGGGAUAGCAAGUCAGAUGUGAAAUCCUAUGGCUUAACCAUAGAACUGCAUUUGAAACUGUUAUUCUAGAGUAUGGGAGAGGUAGGUGGAAUUCUUGGUGUAGGGGUAAAAUCCGUAGAGAUCAAGAGGAAUACUCAUUGCGAAGGCGACCUGCUAGAACAUAACUGACGCUGAUGCGCGAAAGCGUGGGGAGCAAACAGGAUUAGAUACCCCAGUAGUC